GCCUCCGUAGCUCAAUGGAUAGAGCAAGCCUCUCCUAAGGGUUAGAUGGGGGUUCGAUUCCCUCCGGGGGCA
rnacentral:tRNA from 1 species